rnacentral:rRNA from 1 species
CUUUACUGUAACUUGAAAUUGAUUUUUAGAUUUUUUUGCGCAGAAUAAGUGGGAGAUGUUUAUGCUAUUACUUUCGGGUAUUAGUUAGUCGACAAUGAGAUACCACUCUUAGAAAUUUAAAAAUCUAACUUUACUCCGUUAUCCGGAUAAAGAACAUUUUCUGGUGGACAGUUUGACUGGGGCGGUCGCCUCCUAAAAGGUAACGGAGGCGCACAAAGGUUUUCUCAAAUCGUAUCGAAAUCGAUUGUAGAGCGUAAAGGUAUAAGAAAGCUUGACUGUAAGACAAACAAGUCGAACAGGGACGAAAGUCGGUCUUAGUGAUCUGACGUUUCUGUGUGGAAAGGACGUCACUCAACGGAUAAAAGUUA